CUUCAUUCUUUCAUUACCUCGCACCAAGUGCAAGAGGGGUGUCAUUCUGCGUGCUGUGGCUUCCUUCACUCCCCAUGUUGGAGAGGGAUGCCUGGUCAAAAGAGAGUGUACAAAUGGUGGAAACCAGCUUAACAAAGCUGAAGAAAAUGGGAAUAAGUGUCGUUCCCACAGACGGCGCCAAAUGUUGAUGCACAAAAUCAGUGGGGACUUUGGUACAACAAAAAAUGUUAAUUUUGUGACCUUCGCUAGAUUGCUCCGGUCACUAGUGUAGAUAAGUAUGUAAAUGGAUAAAGACAGGGAAGCAAACACAAGAUGUACGUAGUUCACCCAGAUUGGCUACGUCCACGGAGUAAAGGAGUUCUCAUUAAUUGUGAAGGGUUUACACAAGUACAUAGGCUCAAACUCUCCUUUAGUGAGUACUAGUGAAUGAUUUAGUACAAAUGACAUUAGGAAAUAUUAUGGGAGAAUGAUCUCCUUUUAUAGAAGAGAGUUUCUAGCUUUGUUCUGACAUUGACACGUGUCGUGUUGUGAUUCGCUUUGGAUGUUGACACGUGUCGUGUUAUGAUUGGCUUCUAAUGUCGACCCGUGUCCCUUUGUGAUUGGCUUCCUGGUUAAAGGGAAACUCUUCUGGGUCCUUGACGGUAUAACGUUGACUGGUGCUCAGUAGUUUCAGGAUUGGUCAAGUAUGGUGAAAACAACGCCGAUUGUUCAUGAUGCCUUGAUGUGUGUGCUAAUAAGUUGCCGCGCGGAAUCCAGGUGAGUGGGAUUUUGGUUUUCAAUAUAUGUAUAUAUGCUUUACGUUUUUCCCAGAAAAUUGAUUUAAAUGAUUUUGCAUUUAAAUGCCAUGUCAAUUGUUUUAUAUUUUAGAAUAUGCAUUAGUAUUUAUGCUUGUUAGUAUUUGAUGCUGUGGACGUUCAUGUAAGUUCCUGGUGAGUAAAUGUUGAUGAUAGAGAUUAAAAUGUAUAUGAUUGUGAUGUGAUGCAUUUAAAGCUCAUUAUCCUGCACCCUGAUGCUAAUGCUCAUGCCCGUGGUCAAGCAUAGUCCUUCAUGUGAUGUUCACCUCCCGCACCGCACGCUCACCUUGGAUCCAAGUUUGGUGCAUAGCCCUGUCAUACAGACCAUAAUAGGUGG
rnacentral:lncRNA from 1 species